AUGGCGGGGCUCGCCGCGAUACCCCCCUUCCCUCCCCUCAGAGUCGGCGACACGGGACGGCGACACACCGGCUGCCUGGCUAAAACGCAGCGGACGGGAAGAAAAACGAGAGCCAAAAACAAAAAAAAAAAAAAAAAAAAAAAGACGAAAACCCCCAAAACCACCACCGCGAGACAGAGCCCCGGGCGCCUCGAUUUAUUUAAUUAUUUUUUAUUCAUUUUCUCGCCCUCCCUCGCGGGGGGGAACCGGCCGCUAACGGCCGGAGCCGCUGACAAAGCUCCCGCGCGCCCCCUCCCCUCGCCCCCGCCCCCACCCCAGCACCGCCCCCGCGACAUGCGCGGCGCUAUCGCGACACGAGGCGCCCCCCUCCCCUUCCUCAGGGAGCCCCCUCCUCCAUCACAGAGCCCCCUUCCCCCCUCCCCAGUAUCACGGAGCCCCCCCACACACACAUACACACACUCACCUCGCUCCGCCGCCGCGGGGGAAGCGAGCCCGGGAGCCCUCACCGCCGCCUACCAGCCGCGUCGCGACAUGGCCGCUGUCGUCGUCGUCGCCGCCGCAGGGGAGUUUCGCACAGUUCUUCAAGUGCAAGAUAGCCAAUGGGAAUGAGACCUGUAAUUAAUCCGCCCCAUGCACAGUGCAAGCAGAAGAAACUCUUCUGUCUCUGCAAGGUAUCUGAUAAGACUGCAACACUGCUAGUUAGCAUGGUAAGUUUUGUGAUGUUGCUGCUGGGGUUGGCACCCAGCAAAUGCAUUCCUUAUGAAGCAUGAGGAGCAACAAGAGCUGAUUCAGAGGGUUUCCCUUAGACAACAGAAAGAUAAAUUGAGUUCAGUUUCCCAUCCCUUCUCGCAGAUAUGAAGAUGUGGUGGGGGAAGCAUUAAAAGGGAGCCAGCCCAGCAGUAAGAGCAGUGGCCUGAACUGUGGGACAUCCAAAUUCAGCUCCUGCUUUGUCUGUGCAGCUUUAGUCACAUCCUCACUGUACUUUGGCUUGGU
rnacentral:lncRNA from 1 species